GAUGAAGAACGUAGCGAAAUGCGAUACUUGGUGUGAAUUGCAGAAUCCCGUGAACCAUCGAGUCUUUGAACGCAAGUUGCGCCCGAAGCCAUUAGGCCGAGGGCACGCCUGCCUGGGCGUCACACGUCGUUGCCCCCCCAUCUACUCCUUCGGGAUUGCGGGGGGCGGAUGAUGCCCUCCCGUGCGCCUCGUCGCGCGGUUGGCAUAAAUGCCAAGUCCUCGGCGACGCACGCCACGACAAUCGGUGGUUGCGAAACCUCGGUUGCCCGUCGUGUGCGGUCGUCGCGCAUCGAGGGCUCGAAAAAAUUGCCGGGCUCCGGCUCGGCUUUCAACGCGACCCCAGGUCAGGCGGGGUUACCCGCUGAAUUUAAGCAUAUCAAUAAGCGGAGGA
rnacentral:misc_RNA from 1 species